CCUACGGGGGGCAGCAGUGAGGAAUAUUGGUCAAUGGGAGAGAUCCUGAACCAGCCAAGCCGCGUGAGGGAAGACGGCCCUAUGGGUUGUAAACCUCUUUUGUCGGAGAACAAAACCCGGGACGUGUCCCGGACUGCGUGUAUCCGAAGAAAAAGCAUCGGCUAACUCCGUGCCAGCAGCCGCGGUAAUACGGAGGAUGCGAGCGUUAUCCGGAUUUAUUGGGUUUAAAGGGUGCGUAGGCGGUAUGUUAAGUCUGGUGUUAAAUGCAGAAGCUCAACUUCUGUUCGGCACUGGAUACUGGCAAACUAGAAUGCGGUAGAGGUAAAGGGAAUUCCUGGUGUAGCGGUGAAAUGCUUAGAUAUCAGGAGGAACAUCGGUGGCGUAAGCGCUUUACUGGGCCGUAAUUGACGCUGAGGAACGAAAGCCAGGGUAGCAAAUGGGAUUAGAUACCCUAGUAGUC
rnacentral:rRNA from 1 species